UAUAGAGGAACGAAGGCUAAAAACAUCACGUCCUGUGAUAACGCCUUCGUGACCAACAUCCUGUUGC
rnacentral:sRNA from 1 species